GUUGUUGCGGUUAAAAAGCUCGUAGUUGGAUCUCGGCAGGUAGGGGGCGGUUCGUUUCUGACGGCACUGCCCCAUUUACCUGUGUUUUUGCAAGAGGUCUCAAGGUGGCUUUAAUCGGCUGUCUUGGAACGCUUGCAGUUUUACUUUGAAAAAAUUAGAGUGCUCAAAGCAGGCUACAAAGCUUGAAUAUUUGUGCAUGGAAUAAUGGAAUAGGAAGUCGUUUCUAUUUUUUUGGUUUUCGGAGAUUGACUUAAUGAUUAAUAGGGACAGCCGGGGGCAUUAGUACUCAGACGACAGAGGUGAAAU
rnacentral:rRNA from 1 species